AUAUGGCAGGCCUUGAGUGGAUAUAAAAAAUUGUCAAUCGACAAGAACAACCAAUAAUGCGCCUCAAAUCCGCAUAUGCCCGCCUACUAAAUUAUUAAUCCAGCCCCUUCUGCGUUGCUAUUGGCUGUACUACUCACAUAGGGUGAGGCUAGUCAGGAUCCCGAUACAGAGAGGAGGCGGGAGCGUGGGGAAUUUUUGAUUGCUUCCGCUUCCGGUGUGGUGAGCGUUGUGGCGAGGCCGGCGUUGCGGGGCGCCUUAGAGGUUAGUGAUUCAGAUCACCUGCUCUGAAGAAAUCUGAAUGUGGCUUCAGUGGGAAUUUUAAGGACAUCUUAUGCACCCCUAAUGUUGCAGAUGUUUCUACUGGGGAAACCAAUCUCAUCUCAUUAUGAAGACCUGUAAUAUAUGAUAAAAAUAAGUAACACUUAAGUGAAGUUGCAGAGCUUAACAAUCCCUCUAAUUUGUUCUUGUAAUUUGAAUUGGAUUGCUUAUUAUAAUGGGCACCUAGUUGCUAAAUUGAUUUGUAGCACACUUCCAGUGAACUCCUUAAACUCUAUAGUUCUUGUGCUGUUAACAAUGCUCUUGCUACAUAAUACAACGUUAUUCAGUACCACACAACUGACCCUUGUGUAACUCUUGGCUUCAUGGGGUACAAAACUAGCUAUACAUCUGUGGAUAAAUAAAAGGACUAUUAGCAAACACUUGGGAAAUAUGCUAAGACAUAACUGUAGUCACUCGCCUGUUUCCUUUUUUUAUUGAAAAAAUACAAAUGCUGUCUGCAGCUCAUCACACAACUGUCACUAAUAAUUAAAGGCUAGCAUCUAUUCUAGUAUCCCAAAAUGCAAGUGAGAUUAGGAAGCUCAUUUAAACUUCAUUUUGAUCCGCUUGUUACUCCAAUACCAGAAGUUAAAGUGGCUUGAGUGGCAUCUAGAACCCAACAGUGUAAUUAUUUCUCUUUAUCUGUUUUCUCUUAUGUUCCCUGAACUGUAAAUAAGAAUGACCUAUACAGGUUUUUGAGAAACAUAGUGCUAGCGCAAUAACAAUAUGAUUUGGCUAAAGCUACUAGGUGUUGCUACAGUAUAAAUGAUCACUCUAAACUAGAUGCUAAUAAGAACAAUAGUGCAAAAUAAUCUAAAUA